rnacentral:rRNA from 1 species
AGGACGAACGCUGGCGGCGUGCUUAACACAUGCAAGUCGAGCGGUAAGGCCUCUUCGGGGGUACACGAGCGGCGAACGGGUGAGUAACACGUGGGUGGCCUGCCCUCAGCUCUGGGAUAAGCCUGGGAGACUGGGUCUAAUACUGGAUAUGACUGCAUAUCGCAUGGUGUGUGGUGGAAAGUUUUUUCGGCUGGGGAUGGGCCCGCGGCCUAUCAGCUUGUUGGUGGGGUGAUGGCCUACCAAGGCGACGACGGGUA